AGCUCCAGGGCUCCAGCCGAGACACAGGCGGGGCUGUCUCCAUCGUUGUGCUUUUCAGUUAAGUCUCUUCUCAGCAGCUGCUGAAGUUAGCAGCGUGUUUUCCGGCCAGCGCCUGCCCCUCGCGCUGAUCCUGCCCCGUGUCCAGAGUUCCCGCUGGAGAGCAGGGCCUGACCUGCAGCCUUGGUGGUGACAUGAGUGUUUUUGGGGAGGAGCGUGACAGUAGUUUUGUAUCUAAUUGUACAUAUUUGCAUAUAUUUCAUUGUUUUCUUUUUCAUUGUUAUUGUUUAAUUAAAAUUGUGUUGUUUAGUUUCCAA